rnacentral:ncRNA from 2 species
UCGGCGGCGCACGACUGGCGUCGGGUGGGCCAACCACCGGGGAGUGCGCAGCGAGUCGGCAUCGCACGCCUGGGUGCCCUCA